GACGAACCGUGCUAACGUUGUUCGGAAUCACUGGGCUUAAAGGGCGCGUAGGCGGGCACGUAAGUCAGGGGUGAAAUCCCGGGGCUCAACCUCGGAACUGCCUUUGAUACUGUUAGUCUUGAGUCCGGAAGAGGUGGGUGGAAUUCCUAGUGUAGAGGUGAAAUUCGUAGAUAUUAGGAAGAACACCGGUGGCGAAGGCGGCCCACUGGUCCGGUACUGACACUGAGGUGCGAAAGCGUGGGGAGCAAACAGG
rnacentral:rRNA from 1 species